rnacentral:miRNA from 1 species
GCUUCUAAAGUGUAGUC